GCUGGGAGCUGUAGACAGGAGCUGUUCCUAUUCAGCCAUCUUGGCUGCCAGCCGUUCCUUUGCAUUUCUACUGCCAUCACCUUAACAUGUGUAGACUACUUACCCAAUCUUUCUACAGCUCUUUUUGCAGUUUUCUCUGCCUGCGUGUCACUAUGCAAAACUUUGUCAAGUGAUUUCUGAAGUAUAGUUCUUUAAUCACACAACGCAGUAUGACUCCAUUUUCUAGUUAAGCAAAUUGAAGUAUAGAAAAGGGAGAGACCUUCGUCAAGGUCACAUGACUUGUAAAUUUCAGAGAUGGGUCUCUCUGGCUCCAAAGCCACAUUCUGGUCACAUUUGGUCUCUGGUCCAAAGCCGCAUUCUUUUCACCAUAUCAUGCUCUCAGGCAUCAGGAAAGUCUCCAUACGUUCCUGGAAGGUGGUUGACUUCCUGCCUUUCUCAGCAGCCUGUGUCCCAGUUGCUUCCACAUUGCUGACAAGCAAGCCCUUUACUGAGAUCCCUGCUGUAAGCUGCAUUGAAGCCAAGCAUCAGCUGGUAUUUACUUCAUCCUCCAUCAGGCAUCAACAGAGCAUGGGACUGCAAGACAGAAAUAUUACUCUGAAAAUGUAGCUGGGACCACAGCCAACUAGUCUACCUAUCAGCCAGCUGCUGAGAGGAGCCUGCCAGUCAGCUGAAGGGUCAGUGCCUGCCUUUGACUUUGACUCAGCUGCUGAGGCUACAUGACUCAUCCGAGAGUAAGAUACUCAGGAGACCCAAUGGAGCCUCCUCCUUGAGCUUCAGCUGUAAAUAUCAGGGUCUUGCUGUGUCACCCAGGCUGGAGGGCAGUGGCACAAUCACAGCUCACUGCAGCCUUGAUUUCCUGGGCUCACGACAUCCUCCCACCUCAGCCUCACAAGUAGCUGGGACUACAGGUGUGCACUGCCAGACCUGGCUUUUUUUUUUUUUUUUUUUUUACUUUUUUAUAGAGUUGAGGUCUCAUCACUAUCUUGUCCCAGCUGAUCUAGAGCUGAGUUCAAGUGAAACUCCUGCCUUGGCCUUCCAAAGUGCUAGGGUUAUAGGUAUGAGUUACUGCGCCCAGCCAAUAACAUUCUUAAAAUUAACAACAACAAAAAAGCACCUAUAGCACUUACUGGGUCUUCACUCUAUUUUCAGACUUUCUUAACUCUUUGUUAGCUAAUGUAAUUAGCACGUCACCCCUAUGAGUUGCAUACCAUUAGUAUACCUGUUGUACAAAGGAGUGUGAGGAAGAGGCUCAAAGAAUAUAAUUUUCCCAAGAUGGCAUGGCUAGUAAGUAGGGCAGCAAGGGUGUGAUUUCAGACUGUCUGGCUGAGAGUCUGUCUCUGCUAAUCACUACCCUAUACCGUGUGAGGGAUGGGCAUGAGAAAUGAAAGACAAGGCAUGACUGAGCCACAUACAAAUCACUAAACAGGGUCAAAGAGUACCUUGAGUGAGAAAAGAAGCUUCCCAAAAGAUGCCGAGUUUGUUUGCAGCUUACAAAUGAGCUUUACAAAUGGGAAAGUGCUUUGGUUGGAGCCCUCUUCACAAAAGUAGAAGAACAUCAGAGGAACAGAGGCAGCUUCUCACUAGCUGGAGCGUGGAUUGUGAAGACCAGCAAAAAGAAGAGGGGCCAGUAUGGUAUGCAUGAGCUGGGUCACAAGAGAUCUUAGACACUGCAAGCAUCUGACUUUUUCCAGAAUUCCCUAGCAGAAGGACAAAAGGACAUUUGGGUCUUAGAGAGGUUUGUCCCAGCCCUAGUGGGGCAAGGAAGUUAUGGGGUAAGAUUGAAAAAGUAGACCCCAACAAAAGAAGUUCCUGUGAUAAAUCCUAAACCAAGGCAGAAGCAAAGAAAAUGGACAACAGUGGACAGGUAAGAGAGACAUUUGGGGGGUGCAAACCCCUCAAGUUUGAGUACGGAAAAGUUAAAAAAUAAAAUCUCUGUAUAGGUAAAAGGUGAGUUUCCUAGCAAAGCUAGAGCCUCAUAAUAAAAGAGCUUCAGGACAAGUACCUAACCACCAAUGGGGCCUGGCCACCAGGGUCAGAACAAGGAGAAAUGAUGGCCAUGGCCAGCAUGAGCCAUUCUGCAUGCCUCCCACAAGCACUGACCCUACCUACACAGUUCUCAGGCUGGAGCUGUGGGCCCCAAGGCUAAUAGCCCCAAGGCUUUACAUUGACCUAUGUAGCUGGGAAGGUGUGGGCUGAAUUGAAUUAACUGAGCAAUUUCUGAUUCUUAUUUUAGUGAAUAAAAAAUCAUAUAAUAAAAUUAAGCAUCAUUCAAAAUGAUUAAUGCUAGCAACUUCCCAUGAAGUCAUUUAACCUACUUGAUUUAGGGAAUCUGGAAAACUUUCACAAGACUAAUAUCAACAUAUGAGCAGUUUUCAUUAUCAUUAAUAAGAGUCUGUUAGGCAAGUAGUGCUCAAAAUGCUUUAUGCUUCAAAUAUUGAAAUAGACAGUAUCCUCAGAGAUGGCUUCCCAAGCCUCCACUCAUACAGGCUGCAUCAAGGUCACAUUCAGGACUGUAAGAAGACAUCCUCCCUAUUACUACAGAUAACAAAGGUUUUGCCGGUCACAGUAUUGAGUAUGGGGAACCUGCAGAGAUCAGAUUCAGCCAAACCAUUUCCUAAGGGGAAAGUCACAGAAAUUUGUUGACCAUAGGAGUAGUUGAGAAUUGAUAUCCCAGAUCAAUUUGGCUAAACCAAAUCUACUAUUUUUAAUAAUAAUUUGCUAAAUAUGAUAGGACACAGAACACACUGUCUUAAAAUAUGGCACCUUGGCAGGAGGUCGAGGCCAGCCUGGCCAACGUGGUAAAACUCCGUCUCUACUAAUAAUGCAAAAAUUAGCCGGGCGUGGUGGUGCACUCUUGUAGUCCCAUCUAUUAAGGAGGUUGAGACGGGAGAAUUGCCUGAACCCAGAAGGCAGAGGUUGCAGUGAGCUGAAAUCACGCCACUGCACUGCAGCCUGAGCUACAGAGAGAGACUCUGUCUCAAAAAAAAAAAAAAAAAAAAAAAAAGGCAUCUUGCAUACUGAGUAUUUUAAACUAAAGAAAAUUAAAAACACCCCAAAAGCAGGAAUGUCUCUCUGACCUUUUCUUACCUUUCUCCCCUAAAGUAUGCCAUAAAUUAAUUAUCUGGCCUUACCCUGAAAAUAGGCCAUAAGACCCCCAUUUCAGAAGGGUCCUCCCCAUACCUGGGGGAAAAGAGCAUCUGAAGACACAGCAACACCAAGAAGAAUCUGGACAAACAAGCAUUGCUGAGUGUCCCCUUGUUUAUUACCAUGAGAUUACAGCCUUUCGUCCUCCAAUUAACACUUCUACACAUCUGUUCACUCUUCAUCAAACCUAUUCGUAAAAAUAUACAGAUUUCCCUGUUUCUUUGAGUCUUCAUUUCUGAAGGCCUUUGUGUCACAUCAAAUUUGUAUUAAAUAAAUUUGUAUGCUUUUCUUUCAUUAUUCUGUCUUUCGUUAUAGGAGUCUCAGCCAUAAACCUAGCAACGGGCGAGAUAUUACUUUUCUCCUCUACGAAUGAGACAUUCCUUUGAAACACCAUACAUCAAACUUAUAAAAUGUUUUAUAUGUGGAUUUUAACAGCUAUUGGGAAUUCGCGGUCUCACUAUGUUUCUUGGAACUCCUAAGCUCAAGUGAUGUUCCCACCUCUCCCUCCCAAAGUGCUUGAAUUACAGGUGUAAGCUACAGUGCCUAGUCCCUUUUUCAUAUUUCUUUAGGUAUAUUUUUUCUGUCUAGCCUAUUUUAAGCAUUUCAAACAAAAAGCCGAUGUCAAUAUAGUAUUCAAAAAUGUAGAUGUUUAGAGGAAGUCAAGUAAAUGUACAGGGAGUGGCAAUGUCUUCCUUAUGAGUAGAGCAUCCACCUCAGAGCAAUCUUUGUCUUGCCUUUAUGUUGAGUUCUAGGAGAAUAAAUAAGCAGGAAGCAAAAAGGAGAGAAGUGGGCUGGAUCGCUGUGGUUCCUUCCUAGAGGAGGCAACAAAUAGGCAUUUGCUCAGAUCCUUAUAUUACACAAAAAGAUGAAUUCCUGAAGCCUGUGAAAUUAAAUAUUUUCAAAAAUAAAGCAAUGGAUCUCUAAAAUAAGUAUACGUUUAUUUUUACUCAACUUCUGCAGAGAGGACCUUUGAAGCUAAAAUUCAAUAGAAGAUACCAUAAAUUUAAAAAUUUAAAAAAAACACUUAAAACUAAAUAUCAUAUCUAAAAUAAAAAUGCAAAUUAAAAAGAUAAUGAUUUGGAAAUAUUAGUUUAUUAAUAUCUCUAUCAUAUACAAAUCUCAAGGUCGAUAUUUACAAGAUGACUAGUAACAUCGGUACUGAGCAUAACAUCAAGUGAAGACAGGGGCUCAAACAUUUUCCUGAAGGUAUUAACUACAUAAUUGCAUUCUUGGCAAAUGAGUCAUUAGACAAAUUGCUACAAAUAAACAAAAGCUAGAUACUUAUGUUUUAGGCAGUCUAGACAACCUGAUAACUUAAUGAACAUAAUUGCUGAAAACUAUUAAAAGUUCUUGGUUGAUUAUAGCAAAAAUUCUUUUUAAAUUGAUCAAUGAUAAUGAUUGACAAAAACAAAACGAAACAAAUACAAAACCUCAGGAUUGACAGAAGAAGUGGCAAAUCCUGUCUGGAGCAAAGAAAAUUCAAAACAGAUGUCAAAGAAUUCCCAUAGAUCGAGUUUCAAGCAAUGAGAUCUCUUGGUUAAAGAGCAAAACAAAACAUAUAUGGUGACAACGAGGUACCAUGCAUUAAGGGCAGGAAAAUCAACAUGGCCAAAUGUCCAAUAUUGGAAUUAUUCUUUAGGAGUAUAAGCUUGAAGAAACAAAUUUAAACUAUGUUUAUUUAAAAAAAAACACAUAGAAAAUAACCAACUAGACUUUUCAAAUCAUCAAACUAAGUUCUGGAAAUGGAACACAGUGAGUAAUUAAAAUUAGAAAAUGCAAUAUCUAAGUUGAACAGCUAAUUUAAAAAGCUGAAUAAAGAAUUAAAUAAUCAAAUGAUAGGAUCAAAUGAAAACUAUAAAAAAAUGAAGAACAGUAACAAAGACAGAAAAUUGGGGAGAAAUUUUAAUAAACAUGCAAGAUAAAAAGAUCUAACAUAAGAUCCAUUGGAGUUUCAGAGGAAAUGAGAUAAACUGAAAAUAAUCUAUUAGGAAGAACAGCUACAGUAGUCAAGAGAGUGUGAUAUUGGCAUGAAGAUAGGCAAAAUAAAGUUCAUAAAUAGACCCACACAAAUAUGGACAACUGAUUUUGGACAAAGAGCCAAAAGCAUCUUUAAGUGGAUUUUCAGAAAUUGCUGAUAAAACAGUCAGAUAACCACAUGCAAAAGUAACAACAAAAACUAAAAAAAAAAAAAAAAAAAAAAAAUGAAAAACUGUAGUUCAUACCUCCCAUCAUAUACAAUAAUCAAAUAGGCUGUAGGCCUACAUUUAAAACAUAAAACUAUAAAGCUUCUAGAAAGAAAACAUCAAAACAAAUGUUUAUGAUCUUGAGUUAGGCAAAAGUAUUUUAGUCACAACACUGUCAUGAGUUGAAUUGUGUCCCCACAAAAAAAAAAAAAAGUUGAUGUCCUAACCCCUAGUACUUCAGAAUGUGAUAUUACUUGAAAAUAAGGUCUUCACAUAGGUAAUCAAGUUAAAAUAAGUUCAUUAAAGGGAACUUAAUACAAUAUGAUUAGUGUCUUUGUACAAAGGGAAGAUGUGGAUAUGACAGAAAUGCACAGACAGAAGACAAUGAAGAGAGACAUAGGGAGAAUGCCAUGUGACAGCCAGGGAUGAGAGUGAUGCAUCCAAUAGUCAAGGGAUGCCAAAGAUGGCCAGCAAACUACCAGAAGCUAGGAGAGAGGCACAGAACAGAUUCUCUCUCACAGCCCUCCAAAGGAGCCGACCCUGUUGACACCUUGAUUUCAGACUUCUAACCUCCAUAACUGUGGAACAAUACAUUUUGGUUAUUUUAAGCCACUCACCUAGUUUGCGGAACUUUGUUACAGCAGUCCUAGGAAACUAAUAUUUAAUACAAAUACCAUAAACAUGAUCUAUACAUUAAAAAAUAACAAAAAAGAAAUACUGGACGUCAUCAAAAUUAAGAACCUGUGCUCAUCUGGGCGCAGUAGCUCAUGCCUGUAAUCCCUGCACUUUGGGAGGCCAGGUGGGCAGAUCACCAGGUCAAGAGAUCAAGACCAUCCUGGCCAACAUGAUGAAACUCUGUCUGUACUAUAAAUACAAAAAUAAGCUGGGCGUUAUGGUGGGUGCCUGUAAUCCCAGCUACUCGGGAGGCUGAGGCAGGAGAAUCACUUGAACUCGGGAGGUGGAGGUUGCAGUGAGCCAAGAAAUGAGAACAUAUAAAUAUACAAGAACUUGUAUCUGAAUGCUCAUGCAACUUUAUUUGAAAUAGCCCAAAACUGAAAACAAUCUAAAUGUGAAAAACUGCUCAGUGCAAAACCAAAUUGUUAUAUAUAACUAUACAGUGGCAUACUACUCAGCAAUAAAAAGGAAUGGACUGUUUUCAUAUACAACAACAGUCUUAAAUAAUUAAGCAGAGUGAAGGUAGAAACCUGGCAAAAUUUAUAUACUGCAUGCCUUCAUUUUUAAAUAGUCAUCCACAAUGCAC
rnacentral:lncRNA from 10 species